rnacentral:rRNA from 1 species
GACGAACGCUGGCGGCGUGCCUAAUACAUGCAAGUCGAACGCUGAAGCGAGGAGCUUGCUCUUCUUGGAUGAGUUGCGAACGGGUGAGUAACGCGUAGGUAACCUGCCUUGUAGUGGGGGAUAACUAUUGGAAACGAUAGCUAAUACAGCAUAACAAUGGAUGACACAUGUCAUUUAUUUGAAAGGGGCAAUUGCUCCACUACCAGAUGGACCUGCGUUGUAUUAGCUAGUAGGUGAGGUAAUGGCUCACCUAGGCGACGAUACAUAGCCGACCUGAGAGGGUGAGCGGCCACACUGGGACUGAGACACGGCCCAGACGCCUACGGGAGGCAGCAGUAGGGAAUCUGCGGCAAUGGGGGCGAGCCUGACCGAGCAACGCCGCGUGAGUGAAGAAGGGUUUCGGAUCGUAGAGCGCUGUUGUAAGUCAAGAACAGGUGUGAGAGUGGAAAGUUCACACUGUGACGGUAGCUUACCAGAAAGGGACGGCCAACUACGGUC